UUUAUUUUAAGCUUCUGCAGGGGGAAGAGCACUGGUGAGCAGGCUGGCUAUGGAAAAAGCAUGAAAGCAAAAUCAGUGUUGGAACCAACAAGGGCACUCGGAUGGCAGCUGUGGACAAACCUCUGUUUUCAAAGGGAAUGGCUAAUUAACCUUUGAUGGAUAGAACAAGAGAUGGAUUUAGUGCCGAAUUCUAUCAGACCUUCAAAGAAAACCUAUAACCAAGACUCUUCAAACUAUUCCACUAAAUAGAAAUGGAGGGAACACUACCCAAUUCAUUCUACGAAGCCACAAUUGCGCUUAUACCUGAAGCACACAAAGACACAACAAAGAAAGAGAACUUCAGACCAAUUUCCCUUAUGAAUAUUGAUGCAAAAAUAAUAAAAUUUUCACAAACUGAAUCACAGAACACAUCAAAAUGAUCAUCCAUCAUGAUCAAGUAGUCUUUAUCCCAAAGAUGCUGGGAUGGUUCAAUAUAUGGAAAUCCAUCAACAUAUUCCACUAUAUAAACAAACUCAAAGAAAAAUAAAACCAACAAGAUCAUCUCAUCAGAUGCUGAGAAAGCAGUUGACAAAAUUUCAACACCUGUUCUUGAUAAAUUCUUGGAAAGAUCAGGAAUUCAAGGCCCACAGCUAAACAUAGAAAAAGCAACAUACAGCCAACUAGUAGCCAACAUCAAACUAAAUGGAGAGAAACUUGAAGCAAUCCCACUAAAAUCAGGGACUAGACAAGGCUGCCCACUCUCUACCUACUUAUUCAAUAUAGUACUCGAAGCCACAGCAAUUAGGACAAUGAAAGGAGGUCAAAGAGAUACAAAUUGUAAAGGAAGAAGUCAAAAUAUCACUAUUUGCAGAUGAUAUGAUAGUAUACUUAAAGGACCCCAAAAAUCCUACCAGAGAACUCCUACAACUGAGAAACAACUUCAGCAAAGUGGCUGGAUAAAAAUUAACUCAAACAAAUCAGUAGCCUUCCUCUACUCAAAGAAUAAACAGGCUGAGAAAGAAAUUAUGAAAAUGACACCCUUCACAGUAGUCACAAAUAAUAUAAAAUACCUUGGUGUAACUAUAACCAAGAAAGUGAAAGAUCUGUAUGACAAGAACUUCAAGUCUCUGAAGAAAGAAAUUGAGGAAGAUCUCAGAAGAUGGAAAGAGCUCCCGUGCUCAUGAAUUGGCCAGAUUAAUAUUGUAAAAAUGGCCAUCUUGCCUAAAGCAUCUACAUAUUAAAUACAAUUCCCAUCAAGAUGCCAACCCAAUUCUUCAUAGAGUUAGAAAGAGCAAUUUGCAAAUUCAUUUGGAAUAACAACAACAAAAAAAAAACAGAUAGCAAAAACUAUUCUCAACAAUAAAAGAACAUCUGGGGUGCCCCGCGCUAUCUCACCAGCAAGAACACGCGGGGACACACGAAUCCUUCUGUAGCCAAAAUGUUUAUUGUAUCUUAAAGAGAGGGCGCCGAGGCGCCGGCAUGGCACAGCUUAUAUACUCCCUAGCGUGGUGCAUCCACACCUGAUUGGUCGCUUACCCAUGAUCUCAUUAGGCACGCCCCGGAGUGGGCAAAGACCUGGCACGAAGGCACUCUUGCACAUGCACACACAGUUAACUUCCUGAAAGAAAGUCGGCUGGCACGGCGGAGGCCAGCACCAUCUUGUAAUGGCGAAAUCUAUCCCGGCUUUCCACGUGGGGCGCAGUGGAAGCCAGCGCCAUCUUGUGGUGGCGAAUGUUAUUGCGGCUCUCUACACUGGGGGAAUUACCAUCCCUUAUGUCAAGCUGUAUUACAGAGCAAUAGUGAUGAAAACUGUAUGGUAUUGAUACAGAGAUGGGCAGAUAGCUCAAUGGAACAGAAUUGAAGAUGCAGAAACAAACCCACACACCUAUGGUCACUUGAUCGUUGACAAAGGAACUAAAACCAUCCAGUGGAAAAAAAACCAGCAU